rnacentral:rRNA from 1 species
ACGAACGCUGGCGGCAUGCCUAACACAUGCAAGUCGAACGGAGUUAAACGCUGUGAAGCCUUCGGGCGGAACAUGUUUAACUUAGUGGCGGACGGGUGAGUAACGCGUGAGCAACCUGCCUUACAGAGGGGGACAACAGUUGGAAACGACUGCUAAUACCGCAUGAAGUGCCGGGGAGGCAUCUCCCUGAUACCAAAGAUUUAUCGCUGUAAGAUGGGCUCGCGUCCGAUUAGAUAGUUGGUGAGGUAACGGCUCACCAAGUCGACGAUCGGUAGCCGGACUGAGAGGUUGAACGGCCACAUUGGGACUGAGAUACGGCCCAGACUCCUACGGGAGGCAGCAGUGGGGGAUAUUGCACAAUGGGGGAAACCCUGAUGCAGCAAUGCCGCGUGAAGGAAGAAGGUCUUCGGAUUGUAAACUUCUGUUUUUCGUGACGAAGAAGUGACGGUAGCGAAAAAGAAAGCUCCGGCUAACUACGUGCCAGCAGCCGCGGUAAUACGUAGGGAGCAAGCGUUGUCCGGAUUUACUGGGUGUAAAGGGUGCGCAGGCGGGACUGCAAGUUGGAUGUGAAAUACCGGGGCUCAACCCCGGAGCUGCAUCCAAAACUGUAGUUCUUGAGUGAAGUAGAGGCAGGCGGAAUUCCGAGUGUAGCGGUGAAAUGCGUAGAUAUUCGGAGGAACACCAGUGGCGAAGGCGGCCUGCUGGGCUUUAACUGACGCUGAGGCACGAAAGCAUGGGGAGCAAACAGGAUUAGAUACCCUGGUAGUCCAUGCCGUAAACGAUGAAUGCUAGGUGUGGGGGGACUGACCCCCUCCGUGCCGGAGUAAACACAAUAAGCAUUCCACCUGGGGAGUACGACCGCAAGGUUGAAACUCAAAGGAAUUGACGGGGGCCCGCACAAGCAGUGGAGUAUGUGGUUUAAUUCGAAGCAACGCGAAGAACCUUACCAGGUCUUGACAUCCAACUAACGAACUAGAGAUAGAUUAGGUGCCUUUCGGGGAAAGUUGAGACAGGUGGUGCAUGGUUGUCGUCAGCUCGUGUCGUGAGAUGUUGGGUUAAGUCCCGCAACGAGCGCAACCCCUAAUAUUAGUUGCCAGCGAGUAAUGUCGGGAACUCUAAUAUGACUGCCGGUGAUAAAUCGGAGGAAGGUGGGGACGACGUCAAAUCAUCAUGCCCUUUAUGUCCUGGGCUACACACGUACUACAAUGGCUAUAACAAAGAGAAGCGAGACCGCGAGGUGGAGCAAAACUCAAAAAAGUAGUCUCAGUUCGGAUUGUAGACUGAAAUUCGUCUACAUGAAGCUGGAAUUGCUAGUAAUGGCAGGUCAGCAUACUGCCGUGAAUACGUUCCCGGGCCUUGUACACACCGCCCGUCACACCAUGAGAGUUGGGAAUACCCGAAGCCUGUAAGCUAACGCAAGAGGCAGCAGUCGAAGGUAGAAUCAAUGAUUGGGGUG